UGAGGAAUAUUGGUCAAUGGGCGGGAGCCUGAACCAGCCAAGCCGCGUGAGGGAAGAAGGCCCUAUGGGUCGUAAACCUCUUUUGUCAGGGAACAAAAGCGAGUAUGUAUACUAGUCUGAGUGUACCUGAAGAAAAAGCAUCGGCUAACUCCGUGCCAGCAGCCGCGGUAAUACGGAGGAUGCGAGCGUUAUCCGGAUUUAUUGGGUUUAAAGGGUGCGUAGGCGGCGAUGCAAGUCAGCGGUAAAAGCCCGGGGCUCAACCCCGGGCGAGCCGUUGAAACUGCAGUGCUAGAGAAGGCGAGAGGUACGCGGAAUGCGCAGUGUAGCGGUGAAAUGCUUAGAUAUUGCGCAGAACUCCGAUUGCGAAGGCAGCGUACUGGCGCCUGACUGACGCUGAGGCACGAAAACCGUGGGGAUCGAACAGGAUUAGAUACC
rnacentral:rRNA from 1 species